rnacentral:lncRNA from 1 species
CUCAGCCCUUUGGUUCUCCCAACAUGUCACUGCUCGAGGCCGCUGGGUGCUGAGAGAGCUAGAAAUAGUUUGGUAGUCCCUGUGAUCUUAUUCCCCUUCUUUCUUAAGCCCUACUGCAAUCAAGCAGAGACAGCUGGAGUGGAAAUGGAAACUGCAGUAUCCAGGUAUCAGAGCAGCAUGUUGAUGAAUGAGGCUUACUGCUCAGCUCUGCCUUUCUCAGGUUGGAUGUCUCUUCUGUUGUAUUGCUUCUGUAGCUCAAGCACCAUCGUGCAGUUCCAAUACCUUUGACUGGGGUCGGAUCUGCUUGUUUUGUACUUGAAGAUUGGCUAUUUGUUUACAAAGCACUUCCUGCUCCAAGAAACGUCGUGCAUUGCACUGCUGCCAUCACUGCAGAUAUUCAGGAAAAGGACGGAGGGGGCAUUCUGGCAAAGGGUGUGAAAGACACCAUCAAAUGGAAGAGAUUGUUUUUUCUUUAUUUUCCACUGAGACCUAGCUGUGUUGUUUGAAGACCUUACUGUCCUAUGGAAUAAAUGCAGUCUCUGGCAUUAUCCCACUGAUGUGAUUU